UAAAUAAUAACGAGAUUGUUUAUUUUAAGACCUACCUACAGAACUCGAUGGCUCUUCUUCCGAUCCUCCUCCUCUUUCCUCCACCUCCGGCGGCUCUCCUCUCGCCGGAGGCCAUGGGAGCUCCCUCCGCCACCUCCUUCGAUCGUUUUUCUCUCUAUAUAUAUCUGUUUAUUCCGUCGAUGGUCCAAAUCUUUUCGCCAGCAGCCCCAACCAACGAGCACCGACCUCUAUCGGAGAUCUAGUCUCUCAGCAUUUCCAAACUACCAUGGCCUCCUUUCUUAUGCCUUCUUUUGAUUUCACCAAGUUUGGAUUUCGUUCCCAAAUUAGGAUUGAUACCUCGUGGGUUGAUGCCUACUUCGAUGUAAUUGGGAGGUUGGACUCACUUCUUCCCCAAAUUUCAGAGUGUAUUUGUUUACGCCAGGGCUAGCAAACUUGAAAACAGUCAUUAUGCAUUGUUGGAGGAUUGAUGUUUUCUGUGGGUGGCAUUAUUUACUUUGAUUGCUGCCAACCUGCCUGAAAUAAAAUGGGUUUGAGUAAGGGGUUUCUGCAGUCAGGUCAGGAAUGGGUUACAUGAGAUCUACGUCAUUAUAAAUGGCUCAAGUUCAAGUUUGGCCCUUGGAUCCAGCAGGUCAUUAUCGUUGCGUAUGCCCUUAAAACCGAUCCUAGGCUUCUAUUAUAGCGGUGAUAGUGUGAUGAGCCUGGGGCUAGUCGAGGCUUGGUUCAGGUGAUUUGAAAGGCCACACAAUUCAUGUUUGAGAGAAAGAAGAACAAAGUGGAAAAGAUAUUGUGUUUAGGAUUUAUCCUGUUUACUUCUCUGCAUUAAUAUUUUUGGUGGUUUGGGUACAGAUUCAUACAAAAUUAAUGGGCCAAGUAUGGAUUUAUUCUUUUCAACCAAUAAUAAAUAGUUUAGGCAUUGGCCAAAGGUCUUUUAUCCUGAACCGACCAACCUUUUGCCACUUAUACUUUCCCUUGUGAUUCUCGAAACAUCUUUUGGUUAUAUAGGUACAUCUGUAUGUAACUACACAAGAAAACAUCACACAUGUCCACACAUCAUUAAAUCAUUUUCUAAUUUUGGUCAUUCUGUUAGCAGAAAUUUAAUUCAAAAUGUUUAAAGGGGGCGAACUUUCCAAAGCUAGGGCGGAUUUUCCUAUGCAGUCGAUAGGUUAUAAAUUAGAAAGCAAAGGAGAGGCGAGUAACAAGAACCAAGUUACGUGACAGAUUUGCUUACAAGAGUUAUUUGUUUAUCUAGAAUGAUGCUUAGGGAGGCAAAUAUGAAGGACGCAAUCUUUUUUUCUGUUAUCAAGAGGGAGAUGGUUGCAAUACCAUCGCCAAUGAUUCCCAAGCCUUUCAUUGAGAAUCAGAGUUCGAUCCUAUCUACCUUCCAAAAGGAGCUGCAUGAUAUUCUGAUAGAGGACCAUUGCAGGGAGAAUAGGAAAGGAAGAGGAAGAAGAAAAGAGGAGGAAGAAAAAGAGAAGAGGAGGAAGGAGGAGAAGAAAAGGAGGCUAGAUUUUAUUCAAUUCUUUAAUGUCCUAAUUUAUGAGAAGGGUGGCCUUUAUAUAGGCCUUACAUCAGGUCAAUCAAUUGACGACAUACCAAACUUGGACCCUUACAUCAACUCAAUCAAUUUACUAAGUCAAUUGAUUGAUUAUAUACCAAAAUUGAUCCAAUCAUUUGAUCCAAUUAUAUGACUUAACAGCUAACCUAAUUGACUUGUCUAAUAACAAACAACUGACUAAAUUGACUCGAUCAAACAAAAGCAAAAUGUAGAAAAUAAAAAUGAUGUAGACUAGACUGGACCAAAUCCGGGACCCGACUCAAUCUGGUGGCUCAAGAUCAUCUCCCAGCCAUAAUCAUGUCAAUCCUUGGUGCGAACGCAAGCGAGUGGCUUUGAUGGCGCGAUCGUCUGAACGAACGGCUCUGAUGUCUUCAUCAUAUUCUUCAUACAGCAAAUGAACUACCUAAAGCUCCUUGGGAGUUUCCAGAGUCUAUGGUAUUGGUAAAGAUGUUUCAGUGUUUUAUAUUGUGAUACAUGUGAUUCUGAAUAUCAUACAUGCUCUUUGAACCUGCCACUUUCUCGGAUAACGGAAGGGAACUGAUACUGUCCAUGUGUUCAGAGUCAAUCUAAAAUGAAGGAUCUGGGAAGAGCACUGGUACUGUCACCAUAUGUUUGGAGCCAACCUAUAAUGAAAGAUUCCUGAAGGGAACUGCU